GACGAACGCUGGCGGCGUGCUUAACACAUGCAAGUCGAACGGAAAGGCCCUGCUUUUGUGGGGUGCUCGAGUGGCGAACGGGGGAGUAACACGUGAGUAACCUGCCCUUGACUUUGGGAUAACUUCAGGAAACUGGGGCUAAUACCGGAUAGGAGCUCCUGCUGCAUGGUGGGGGUUGGAAAGUUUCGGCGGUUGGGGAUGGACUCGCGGCUUAUCAGCUGGUUGGUGGGGUAGUGGCUUACCAAGCCUUUGACGGGUAGCCGGCAUGGGAGGGUGACCGGCCACAAUGCGCCUGAGGGACGGCCCAGUCGGCAACGUGAGGCAGCAGGCGGGAAUAUUACACAGCGGGCGGGAGCCUGAUACGGCAGCGCCGGGUGCGGGAAGACGGCCUUCGGGUUGUGAACCGCUUUCGCCUGUGACGAAGCGGGAGUGACGGUAACGGAUAAAGAAGCACCGGCUAACUACGUG
rnacentral:rRNA from 1 species